UACGUAGGGCGCAAGCGUUAUCCGGAAUUAUUGGGCGUAAAGAGCUCGUAGGCGGUUUGUCGCGUCUGCCGUGAAAGUCCGGGGCUCAACUCCGGAUCUGCGGUGGGUACGGGCAGACUAGAGUGCGGUAGGGGAGAUUGGAAUUCCUGGUGUAGCGGUGGAAUGCGCAGAUAUCAGGAGGAACACCGAUGGCGAAGGCAGGUCACUGGGCCGCAACUGACGCUGAGGAGCGAAAGCAUGGGGAGCGAACAGG
rnacentral:rRNA from 1 species